rnacentral:rRNA from 1 species
UACCAGCACCCCGAGUGGUCGGGACGAUUAUUGGGCCUAAAGCAUCCGUAGCCGGCCUUACAAGUCCUCCGUUAAAUCCAGCUGCUUAACAGAUGGGCUGCGGAGGAUACUAUAGAGCUAGGAGGCGGGAGAGGCAAGCGGUACUUAGUGGGUAGGGGUAAAAUCCGUUGAUCCAUUGAAGACCACCAGUGGCGAAGGCGGCUUGCCAGAACGCACUCGACGGUGAGGGAUGAAAGCUGGGGGAGCAAACCGG